UUCAAGCCUACUCUUUGCGGCUUACUCUGUUAAUCCUAUGUUUCAUAGGCUGAUGAUUGUCACGGCGCGGCGGUAAUGGUGGGUGUGAUAUUGGCGGGACGGCUCAAUCUGUUCUUUCUUUGUUUUGUUUUGUUUAGUGGGUUAAUGUAUACAGUAUGUUUUUGUUUUCACCCAUGAUGUUUAUAUGGGGGGUGGAUAUAUAUGCCAAGGUUUUCCAAAAUUAACAGAUUUGUUAGUUAGUUGGGUCAUUUGUUCUAUUGAAGCUAAAUGCUAAUGGUUUUCUGUUUCUGCAAUUUUUUUGAAGUUAAAUGGUAACCCCCUUUCAAGUAAACCCUGUAUCUUGAGGAAGAAAAGAGGGGAAAGUACCAGCCCUCCUUUUAAUUAACGCUUUAAGUUGUUGAUGAGUUAAAAAACUGUUGCUUGUAUGUGGGCGCAAAUUUCGAUGUUCAUGUACGCACUGGCCUGGGGUUCCCUAGAUCAAUG
rnacentral:lncRNA from 1 species